rnacentral:rRNA from 1 species
GGAGAGACUAACAGGAUUCCCCUAGUAACUGCGAGUGAAGCGGGAAGAGCUCAAAUUUAAAAUCUGGUGGUCCCUCUGGGCCGUCCGAGUUGUAAUCUAGAGAAGUGCUUUCCGCGCUGGACCGUGUACAAGUCUCUUGGAAUGGAGCGUCAUAGAGGGUGAGAAUCCCGUCUUUGACACGGACUGCCAGGGCUUCUGUGAUGCACUCUCAAAGAGUCGAGUUGUUUGGGAAUGCAGCUCAAAAUGGGUGGUAAAUUCCAUCUAAAGCUAAAUAUAGGCGAGAGACCGAUAGCGAACAAGUACCGUGAGGGAAAGAUGAAAAGAACUUUGAAAAGAGAGUUAAACAGUACGUGAAAUUGUUGAAAGGGAAACGUUUCAAGUCAGUCGCGUCGGCUGGUAAUCAACCUUUGCAAUCUUGCUAGGCUUACUUUCCAGUUGACGGGUCAGCAUCAAUUUUGACCGUCAGAUAAAGGCGUGAGGAAUGUGGCAUCUUUGGAUGUGUUAUAGCCUCUUGUCACAUGUGAUGGUUGGGAUUGAGGAACUCAGCAUGCCGUUCAUCGGUCGGGGCCUUUCGGCUCACGUAACAUGCUUAGGAUGCUGGCAUAAUGGCUUGAACCGACCCGUCUUGAAACACGGACCAAGGAGUCUAACAUGCCUGCGAGUGUUUGGGUGGAAAACCCGAGCGCGAAGUGAAAGUGAACUUGGUUGAGAUCCCUGUCGUGGGGAGCACCAACGCCCGGACCAGACCUUUUGUGACGGAUCUGCGGUUGAACAUGCAUGUUUGGGACCCCGAAAGAUGGUGAACUAUGCCUGAAUAGGGUGAAGCCAGAGGAAACUCUGGUGGAGGCUCGUAGCGAUUCUGACGUGCAAAUCGAUCGUCGAAUUUGGGUAUAGGGGGCGAAAAAACUAAUCGAACCAUCUAGUAGCUGGGUUCCUGCCGAAUUUUUCCCC